UACGGAGGGGGCUAGCGUUGUUCGGAAUUACUGGGCGUAAAGCGCACGUAGGCGGCUUUGCAAGUUAGAGGUGAAAGCCCGGGGCUCAACCCUGGAAUUGCCUUUAAGACUGCAUCGCUAGAAUCGUGGAGAGGUGAGUGGAAUUCCGAGUGUAGAGGUGAAAUUCGUAGAUAUUCGGAAGAACACCAGUGGCGAAGGCGACUCACUGGACACGUAUUGACGCUGAGGUGCGAAAGCGUGGGGAGCAAACAGG
rnacentral:rRNA from 1 species